AACGAACGCUGGCGGCAUGCCUAACACAUGCAAGUCGAACGAGACCUUCGGGUCUAGUGGCGCACGGGUGCGUACCGCGUGGGAACCUGCCCUUAGGUUCGGAAUAACUCCCCGAAAGGGGUGCUAAAACCGGAUAAUGUCUUCGGACCAAAGAUUUAUCGCCUUUGGAUGGGCCCGCGUUGGAUUAGCUAGUUGGUAGGGUAAAAGCCUACCAAGGCGACGAUCCAUAGCUGGUCUGAGAGGCUGAUCAGCCACACUGGGACUGAGACACGGCCCAGACGCGUACGAGAGGCAGCAGUGGGGGAUAAAGGACAGGGGGCGAAAGGCUGAUCCAGCAAUGCCGCGUGAGUGAUGAAGGCCUUAGGGUUGUAAAGCUCUUUUACCCGAGAUGAUAAUGACAGUACCGGGAGAAGAAGCACCGGCUAACUCCGUG
rnacentral:rRNA from 1 species